rnacentral:lncRNA from 1 species
UUUUUUUCUAUGAGCUAGCGAGUGAGGGACGCCCUGGCCGGGUGUCACUCACGACCUCUCCUUUAUUGAGUUGUUCGGAUUGGCUCUUCCAUAGCCUCAAAGCGGAGGGAGAGACAAAUCGGAUAGAGCAGCUCAACAGAGAGAGAGAGAGAGACGAAAGUCCUCCCCGAGGGAGGAAGAGCGAAGCGAAGAAGAGGAAAUCGGUGAUUCGCGCGCGCUUCUAGCUUCUUCCCUUUCAAAUAAGUCAGCUUCCUCUAUAAGGUCACGAGUAUCCUACCGCAUCGUAUUCGAGAUGGGCUUGAAAAGGGACCCGCGAGAAGCCUUUUGCACCAAACUAAGGAAUGCAAAACUCGACUUGAAUCAAGGAUGGACUCUUGCUCACAAAAGGGAAUCUGCAUUUUUUCUUCCAAAACCUUUUUUUUCGGUAUGCCACUGCGAGCAAGGAGUGCCACGCACGAGCAGAGCGAAAACAAACCAAGGGGAAUUCUUCUAGGACCAAAUUCUCAAAUGUCCGUUUCGUUAUUACAAUCGGGUUGAAGGAGUAAAACACUUUCUUUUGUAUCCUCUUAUAUAUAAAUAAAAA